rnacentral:rRNA from 1 species
ACACUCCUACGGGAGGCAGCAGUGGGGAAUUUUGGACAAUGGGCGAAAGCCUGAUCCAGCAAUGCCGCGUGUGUGAAGAAGGCCUUCGGGUUGUAAAGCACUUUUGUCCGGAAAGAAAUCCUUGGCUCUAAUACAGUCGGGGGAUGACGGCACCGGAAGAAUAAGCACCGGCUAACUACGUGCCAGCAGCCGCGGUAAUACGUAGGGUGCGAGCGUUAAUCGGAAUUACUGGGCGUAAAGCGUGCGCAGGCGGUUUGCUAAGACCGAUGUGAAAUCCCCGGGCUCAACCUGGGAACUGCAUUGGUGACUGGCAGGCUAGAGUAUGGCAGAGGGGGGUAGAAUUCCACGUGUAGCAGUGAAAUGCGUAGAGAUGUGGAGGAAUACCGAUGGCGAAGGCAGCCCCCUGGGCCAAUACUGACGCUCAUGCACGAAAGCGUGGGGAGCAAACAGGAUUAGAAACCCUGGUAGUCCCA